CCCGGACACAGGUCGCACGCCAGCUGCCCUUCUUUCUCCUGGAAGGUGCCGGGCGGACACUGGACGCAACGCUCCUGCUCGCCGUGGUAAUACGAGCCCGGCAAGCACCUGACUGAAAAACAAAAUCCACAACAGCGUCGGGUGAAUUACUGCCUCACAACCCUGAGUUCCCUGGUUCCGAUCUUAGCUCAGGCCCUCUUGUGUGGAGCUAGCACGUUCUGGGUGUUUUUUCUGUGGGCACAGUGGCUUCCUCCCACAUUUCAAAAGCAUCUGUGUUGAGUACAUCCAAGACUAAAUUGUCCAUAGGUGUGAAUGAGCAUGAACGGUUGCCCUGUGACAAAAGUAGGACUACACCCUGACCAGACUCUUGACCAAAGUCACCUGUGACUCCAAUGAGGAACCGCACCAUAGGAAAUGAAUGGAUGGCUAAUAUAAGCGAGUCCUCCUACGUUAAGCAAUCAGAGUUGAAGUGUUUACCGCAUCGGCCGCUGUCUUUUUCGGAGCCCGGGCCGCAGUUCUCUUGAACGGGCGAAGCCUGCGGAAGUUUCUGGGCCACCUCGUACUCCAGACCGGCAACUCUGAUGA